AUUGAACGCUGGCGGCAUGCUUUACACAUGCAAGUCGAACGGCAGCGCGGGCUUCGGCCUGGCGGCGAGUGGCGAAUGGGUGAGUAAUGCAUCGGAACGUGCCCAGUAGUGGGGGAUAGCCCGGCGAAAGCCGGAUUAAUACCGCAUACGACCUGAGGGUGAAAGCGGGGGACCGAAAGGCCUCGCGCUAUUGGAGCGGCCGAUGUCGGAUUAGCUAGUUGGUGGGGUAAAGGCUUACCAAGGCGACGAUCCGUAGCUGGUCUGAGAGGACGACCAGCCACACUGGGACUGAGACACGGCCCAGACUCCUACGGGAGGCAGCGGUGGGGAAUUUUGGACAAUGGGGGCAACCCUGAUCCAGCCAUGCCGCGUGCGGGAAGAAGGCCUUCGGGUUGUAAACCGCUUUUGUUCGGGAAGAAAUCCUCUGGGCUAAUACCCCGGGGGGAUGACGGUACCGGAAGAAUAAGCACCGGCUAACUACGUG
rnacentral:rRNA from 1 species